GACGAACGCUGGCGGCGUGCUUAACACAUGCAAGUCGAACGGUAAGGCCCUUCGGGGUACACGAGUGGCGAACGGGUGAGUAACACGUGGGUGAUCUGCCCUGCACUUCGGGAUAAGCCUGGGAAACUGGGUCUAAUACCGGAUAGGACUCCUGGCUUCAUGGUUGGGGGGGGAAAGCUUUUGCGGUGUGGGAUGGGCCCGCGGCCUAUCAGCUUGUUGGUGGGGUAAUGGCCUACCCAGGCGACGACGGGUAGCCGGCCGUAGAGUGUGAGCAGUCACACUGGGACUGAGAUACGGCCCAGACUCCUACGGGAGGCAGCAGUGGGGAAUAUUGCACAAUGGGCGCAAGCCUGAUGCAGCGACGCCGCAUGAGGGAUGACGGCCUUCGGGUUGUAAACCUCUUUCAGCUAUGACGAAGCGCAAGUGACGGUAGUAGCAGAAGAAGGACCGGCCAACUACGUGCCAGCCGCCGCAGUAA
rnacentral:rRNA from 1 species